rnacentral:misc_RNA from 1 species
GUAGGUGAACCUGCGGAAGGAUCAUUACAGAGUUCCUGCCCUUACGGGUAGAAACCCCACCCUUGUAUAUACUAUAUUGUUGCUUUGGCAGGCCGCCUCCCGGCGUCGGCUCACGCUGACUGUGCCUGCCAGAGGACCCUAAACUCUAUAAUACAGUGUCGUCUGAGUACUAUUUAAUAGUUAAAACUUUCAACAACGGAUCUCUUGGUUCUG